UACGUGGGGGCGAGCGUUGUCCGAAAUUACUGGGCGUAAAGAGCGCGUAGGCGGAUUGUUAAGUGAGUGGUGAAAGGUUCAGGGCUCAACCCGGACAUUGCCCUUCAUACUGGCGAUCUUGAGUGUGGGAGAGGCGAGUGGAAUUCCUGGUGUAGCGGUGAAAUGCGUAGAUAUCAGGAGGAACCCCCAUGGCGAAGGCAGCUCGCUGGCCUACAACUGACGCUGAGGCGCGAAAGCGUGGGUAGCAAACAGG
rnacentral:rRNA from 1 species